AGCAUGGUUUGCACUAAAAAAAUUAUUAGACCUCCUUUUGGAUAAGGGACCUAAUCAUCCUUUGGAUGUUGAGAUGAAAAAUGUGUUCUUGCCAGGAGCUGACGAAAACAUUGACCUGGAAGUAGAAGAGUGUUUACUGGACACUGGGAAGACAAGGGCGGCUGGAUUUGAUAAAUGUGUGCUAUGUGCAUGUAUUGCACAGAAAUCCAUUAAUGCAUAUAAUUGAUGUGUAUUAAUAAGAAAAGAUACACAAAAUAAAAGACAGAAUAUAU